rnacentral:rRNA from 1 species
GACGAACGCUGGCGGCGUGCUUAACACAUGCAAGUCGAACGGGCUCUGUCUGGCUGUGUGCUGGGUGGGGUUAGUGGCGACCGGGUGAGUAAUACGUGAGUAACCUGCCCUCUUCUUUGGGAUAAGCCUUGGAAACGGGGUCUAAUACUGGAUAUUCCUGUCUGGUCGCAUGGCUGGGUGGGGAAAGUUUUUUUCGGUGGGGGAUGGGCUCGCGGCCUAUCAGCUUGUUGGUGGGGUGAUGGCCUACCAAGGCGUCGACGGGUAGCCGGCCUGAGAGGGUGACCGGCCACACUGGGACUGAGAUACGGCCCAGACUCCUACGGGAGGCAGCAGUGGGGGAGAUUACACAAGGGGCGCAAGCCUGAUGCAGCGACGCCGCGUGGGGGAUGACGGCUUUCGGGUUGUAAACCUCUUUCGUCGGGGGACAAGGCUCUGCUUGGUGGUGGGGUUGAGGGUACCCGGUGAAGAAGCGCCGGCUAACUACGUG